UGUGAUCGAAUCAUGCUGAAAACAACGGUUCCUGUUUGAUCACCGAAGUUAAGCAAUGUCGAGCCGGGUCAGUACUGAGAUGGGGAUCCGCUUGGAAACACCGAGUA